UACGUAGGGGGCAAGCGUUGUUCGGAAUUACUGGGCGUAAAGGGCGCGUAGGCGGCCCGCUAAGUCGAACGUGAAAUCCCCAGGCUCAACCUGGGAACUGCGUCCGAUACUGGCAGGCUUGAAUCCGGGAGAGGGAUGUGGAAUUCCAGGUGUAGCGGUGAAAUGCGUAGAUAUCUGGAGGAACACCGGUGGCGAAGGCGGCAUCCUGGACCGGCAUUGACGCUGAGGCGCGAAAGCUAGGGGAGCAAACGGG
rnacentral:rRNA from 1 species